rnacentral:rRNA from 1 species
AGUGAACGCUGGCGGUAGGCCUAACACAUGCAAGUCGAACGGCAGCACAGUAAGAGCUUGCUCUUACGGGUGGCGAGUGGCGGACGGGUGAGGAAUACAUCGGAAUCUACUUUUUCGUGGGGGAUAACGUAGGGAAACUUACGCUAAUACCGCAUACGACCUACGGGUGAAAGCAGGGGAUCUUCGGACCUUGCGCGAUUGAAUGAGCCGAUGUCGGAUUAGCUAGUUGGCGGGGUAAAGGCCCACCAAGGCGACGAUCCGUAGCUGGUCUGAGAGGAUGAUCAGCCACACUGGAACUGAGACACGGUCCAGACUCCUACGGGAGGCAGCAGUGGGGAAUAUUGGACAAUGGAGGCAAGCCUGAUCCAGCCAUACCGCGUGGGUGAAGAAGGCCUUCGGGUUGUAAAGCCCUUUUGUUGGGAAAGAAAAGCAGCAGGUUAAUACCCCGCUGUUCUGACGGUACCCAAAGAAUAAGCACCGGCUAACUUCGUG